AGUUGACAUAAGACACUGUGACAUACUAUACAAAAUAUGAUACAGGAGGCUUGUAUUUUGGAUGAGAGGGGAAAGAACACAUUUGUUACUUUGGGCAUUGUGUGAAGUAACAGUGAAGCAGAAUAUCUACAGACUAUGAAGUUGAGAAAUGAAGAGAUGCAGCUGUAAAUUGUUUAAUACGGCGUGUGGGGAAAACAUAGUGGAUAUGAAGUUGAGAAAUGAAGAGAUGCAGCUGUAAAUUGUUUAAUACGGUGUAUGUGGGAAACAUGGUGGAUAUGAAGCAUAGAAAUCAUGUGACAAUGUGAAGUAACAGUAACAGAAUGGCUGGAGACCAUUAACUUAAGAAUUGAAGAGAUGCAGGUCUUUGUUCUACAUGGUGAUUGGUGGAACCAUAUGGUACAGUUUUGAAUUGAUAAGGCAUGAAGUUACAGAAAAGCAGAAUAGCUACAGACCAUGAAAUUUAGAAAAUGAAGAGAUGCAUGUCUCAGUUCAGCAUGGUGUAUAUGGGAAACAUUGUGUAUGGCAGACAUGAAAUAAUUUGUGUGAAGUAACAGUAAAGCAGAAUGGCUACAGACUAUUAAUUCAGAAUUGAAGAGAUGCAGGUUUUUGUUUUAUAUGGUGUAUGAGGGAACUAUGGUGGAUUUCAUGGCAGUCAUAGAAAUACCUAAUAAGUCUGUAAGACAGUGAUGAGUGUACCAGUCUGUCAGGCUAUUACGUGUCUGUCGAGUCGACAAAUUUGCAAUGGAUGCAUAGAUUCUCAAAUAAUUGGGCAGAGUUUUUACAUUUACUAAGACAGAUUGCAAAAGACUUUUGCACCCAAAAACCUGAAAUGAGAGCGCUUGGACAAUGUGAAGUUUGUUGCAUAGACGGGGAUUGACCGCCUUUGUAUAUACAAGUCUACAACUUUUCAGAUUGACCGAAGACAAUUGUUUGGUGUUGGGAAUGGAUGUUGUUUGGCCGGUGGCUUUCCAAUCACACAGAAGAUACUGGUUGGAUCACAAGAAGGGUCAUUUCAAUUGAUAUUAGUCACCGGAAAAAUUAGGAAAACCACUUGUUGAUAUUUUAUUUAAGAGAAAUAUAUGAAGUAGAGCUCUGCAGUUUUCCAUAAACUCACCAAGAAGUUCACAGUUUUUGCACAGAUUUGUGACUCACAUAUAUGGCCUUGAAGGAAUUGUUACAGGAAAAGUGUAAAAAAGGAUAUGGUGGAAUUGCAAUUCCUGGUGCUGUUUUUGGUGUUUUAAUGGGAGGUUUUCUAUUAAAAAGGUUUCAGAUGGGACCUAAAGGUGCAAUCCAGUUGACAAUCUUGUUAGAUCUUUUAGCACUCAUUGGAUGUGGAUUUUUCUUUUUCCUGGGGUGCGAAAAUCUCAAAAUUGCUGGCGCCACAUUCCCAUACUUUAACAGUUCUGGUUACAAUUUAGUGGAAGAUUAUGAAUUUGAAGCAAAUUUGACGUCCACAUGUAACAUGUAUUGCGAUUGUUCAAACAAUGACCUUGAACCUAUCUGUGGUAUAAACGGAUUGACCUACUUCUCACCAUGUCAUGCUGGAUGCACACAGUUUAACACCAAUGAAGUUGCUCCUGAUGAAAAAAUUAUGGUAAAAUGAUAAACGUAUU